ACAAGUGGGUUGAUUAUAGGGUAAUAAGUGGCCACAAAUUCUAGAUUUACAAAGGAAGUCUCUCAUUUUCCAAAUAAUAUAACCUAAUCCCCCUACCUUUCAUUAUUAGCAAAGUGUAUCCCAAAUUUAAAUUUGUAUCCAACCUACAUAUUCAAAUAUUGUAGAUUGUAAAAUAAAUCCCAACAAAAUAAUUUAAUCAUUUGGUCAAUUGAAGUCCUAACAAGAUAAUCCACUUCAUUCAAAUUCAAACUUGACUUGAAUUUCGACUACUAAUAAUCACUUCAUGUAUACACAACAUUUAGCACUUCAUGCUUGCAUUCAUUAGCUACCUCUAGCAUUAACCACUACAAAGGUGGUGCCCCCUUUUUC
rnacentral:lncRNA from 1 species